CCUACGGGAGGCAGCAGUGGGGAAUAUUGGACAAUGGGGGGAACCCUGAUUCAGCCAUGCCGCGUGUGUGAAGAAGGCCCUCGGGUUGUAAAGCACUUUCAGUGAGGAAGAACGCCUGGUGGUUAAUACCCAUCAGGAAAGACAUCACUCACAGAAGAAGCACCGGCUAACUCCGUGCCAGCAGCCGCGGUAAUACGGAGGGUGCGAGCGUUAAUCGGAAUUACUGGGCGUAAAGCGCGCGUAGGUGGCUUGAUAAGCCGGUUGUGAAAGCCCCGGGCUCAACCUGGGAACGGCAUCCGGAACUGUCAAGCUAGAGUGCAGGAGAGGAAGGUAGAAUUCCCGGUGUAGCGGUGAAAUGCGUAGAGAUCGGGAGGAAUACCAGUGGCGAAGGCGGCCUUCUGGACUGACACUGACACUGAGGUGCGAAAGCGUGGGUAGCAAACAGGAUUAGAUACCCUGGUAGUC
rnacentral:rRNA from 1 species